UACGUAGGGCGCAAGCGUUGUCCGGAAUUAUUGGGCGUAAAGAGCUCGUAGGUGGCUUGUCGCGUCUGCCGUGAAAGUCCGGGGCUCAACUCCGGAUCUGCGGUGGGUACGGGCAGACUAGAGUGAUGUAGGGGAGACUGGAAUUCCUGGUGUAGCGGUGAAAUGCGCAGAUAUCAGGAGGAACACCGGUGGCGAAGGCGGGUCUCUGGGCCGAUACUGACGCUGAGGAGCGAAAGCGUGGGGAGCGAACAGG
rnacentral:rRNA from 1 species